AAAAAUGGCGGGAAGAAGCUGUCAAAGUGGAUGUCCCUGUGGUGGAAGAGGAUGAUGAUGAUGAACACACCAGUACUGUACCCUGAGCAGACAUUAGACUUGAAAUGACAAUUAGAACUCAAGUAAAUAAACUUAGCGGUAAAGUAAGCUAAGAUCAGUGAACGACCCGCUCAGACAGGACGACAGAUCUAUAGGCGUAGACGAUGUAUAGGCAUAAUGGACACUUUUCGUUGAACAGCUGUUGAAACGGACACUUUCAGAGAAAUCAACAGACACUUUCAGAGAAAUCAACGGACACUUUCCACUGAAUUUCCAAAAUAAGAAUGGAGUUCUUGACAAAUGAAGUCUCUUGUCGAAAAAGAAAGCGAUAUUGGGCUUUCAUGAUGCCAGUUAAAGGUAAGAAAAUCAGUUGAGAAAUUCUACCAUGUGUACACUGUAGGUAUAAGUUUGUGAUUUCAGACACCUUGAUAAACAUGAGAUCAGACAUUGUUCUCCAAACUGAAAACUUUCAUAAUUAAUCUUGUGUACAAUGCAGUUCGUUUCAUUCUUUACCAGUUUUAAAUUGAAGAGGUCGUGAAUUCCAUUUGUGAAAUAUUAUUAGCUCAAGUGAGCUUUAAUUUCUUAUCAAAAUUUGUAUGUGAACUGUUGUUCACAUUUUCAUCUCUUUUUUUUCAGAACCACUGGGCCAAUUUCACCAAACUUGGCUCAAAGCAUCCUUAGGUGAAAGACUUUCAAGUUUGUUCAAAUGAAGGGCCAUGCCUCCUUGAAAGGGGAGAUAAUCACAAAAA